rnacentral:tRNA from 1 species
GCAGGCAUAGCUCAAUGGUAGAGCUCCACCCUUCCAAGGUGGCUGUUACGAGUUCGACUCUCGUUGCCUGCU